UACGUAGGGGGCAAGCGUUGUCCGGAUUUAUUGGGCGUAAAGAGCGUGUAGGCGGCUAUACAGGUCCGUUGUGAAAACUCGAGGCUCAACCUCGAGACGCCGAUGGAAACCGUAUGGCUAGAGUCCGGAAGAGGAGAGCGGAAUUCCUGGUGUAGCGGUGAAAUGCGCAGAUAUCAGGAAGAACACCCGUGGCGAAGGCGGCUCUCUGGGACGGUACUGACGCUGAGGAGCGAAAAGCGUGGGGAGCGAACAGG
rnacentral:rRNA from 1 species